UUUGUACUCCCUCCGUCCCAAAAUUCUUGUCUUAAAUUUGUCUAAAUCUGGAUGUAUCUAGUUACAUUUUAGUGUUAGCUACAUCUGUAUCUAAACAAAUGUAAGACAAGAAUUUUGGGACGGAGGGAAUACUAC
rfam:Triticum aestivum genome assembly, contig: Triticum_aestivum_CS42_TGACv1_scaffold_592669_7BS